rnacentral:rRNA from 1 species
AACGAACGCUGGCGGCAUGCCUAACACAUGCAAGUCGAACGAGACCUUCGUGUCUGGUGGCUCAUGGGUGCGUAACGCGUCGGAACCUGCCCUUAGGUACGGAAUAACUCCUCUACGGGGGUGCUAAUAUCGGAUAAUGUCCUCUGACCAAAGAUUUGUCGCCUUUGUAUGGGCCCGCGUUGUAUUAGCUUGUUGGUAUGGUAAAAGCCUAUCAAGGCGACGAUACAUAGCUGGUCUGAGAGGAUGAUCAGCCACACUGAGACUAAGACCCGGCCCAGAAUACUGCGGGAGGCGGCAGUGGGGAAUACAGGAAAACCGGCGAAGUCAUGAACGAGCUAUGGCGGGUGAGUGAUGAAGGCCUUAGAGUAGUAAAGCUCUUUUACCCGCGAUGGUAAUGACGGUACCGGAAGAAUAAGCUCCGGCUAACUCCGUG